ACUUAGGUGGUUAGUGAACUUGGUAGUCAGUGAAGACGUGUCUGUGUCAGCCUACACUCCAGUGUUCACGGUGUCGUGUCAUGACACAACGAUUGAUUGAUUGAUAAAGAUUAAGAAAUCUAAGAAGAGGCACGGGCAUGAAUAGCCCCUAAGUGACAACGAUUACUUAGUGAUACAAAGAUGGCAAUUUGAAUGAAAAAACUGCUAGUGCUUAAAGAUGGAAUCUCUAGAUGUACGCAAGAACUUCAUCCUCACCACAACUGGAAAUUAUUUUGGUCUGUCAUUAUCUGAUCCCCUGCUGUUGGCACUAAAUGACGACCAAAGCCUCAACACCUUUUUGGACUCGGGGAAUUGUCAACUCCUCGGAUCCCAUGUGGUUCCUGACGAGGGUCGAGUUAUAUUCAACACUAAGGUUGACUCAACAUUAAAGAAGGAUAAGUUUUUGGUGUUCUUCAAGGUGAAGCCCGAUGUGAUAACUGGAGAUAACCUUGCUGACAUUUUUGUGUCCUCAAUGAUUGACUCUCCUGUUUCAUCCCUCUAUCAUUCACUUCAAAAGCUUUAUGCACCAAUACUAUUAAAGGAUUCUGAAUGGAGUGGCACUCUGGAUCCCAAGCUUCAAGCAUUAGUGACAGAGCUAUCUGAUGGUCUGGGAAGCCUUCUGCGAAAGCAAGACCCACUUCUGUCAAAUGACUCCUCUCAUGCAUCCAAACGGCUGGCAGGCAUCCUGACAGUAAAGGACGAGACAGACUACUGGGCUGACACGGCCAACAAUCCCAUGAGUAGGGAUGAAAAAGAAAUGGCCCAGAGCUUUUAUAAUUGCCUUGAACCAAUAGAAAAAGAAUUCAGUGGGUUAGAUGCUGUUGUGAUGGGAGAAGCAGAGGAUAUCUUGGAGAACACUCAGAACUCCCUGGAUGAACUAUGGAGGCUGGACUUUCCUCAGGCUCGUAUGUCACACCUGCUAGAUAUCAUAGCCAAUCAGCUGUCUCUGUAUGUGCAGAGCAAACUGGGAGAAGAGGACCUGUGGGGAGGACAGUACAAUCAAAUAGAGAAAAGUUUGUCUGAAGGCAUUUCAGUUUGUGAUCGUUGGGUAGACACCUGUAACAAGCUUACUUCUAUGUUUUGGAAAAGUGGUGCAGACCAGAUGUGGGAAGGCAAACCAUUCACUCCUGAUUAUUGCAAGAAUGUUUCCAAGCGUCUAACUGAGAUACUGAGUCUACGCACCUUGCACAAGCAACUGACAAGGCUCUUGUCACUAAGCGAACAAGAGGAACUCAAAACUGCAGAGGCUUUCAAGCCUUUUGCCGGCUUAAAGCCAGUACAGUACAAUCCGUACACUGAACCAUUGUGGCAAGCAGCAGUACGUCAGUUUGAAAAUUCCUUGAAGCCUGCAGAACAACGAAUUGCUGGUAAGCUAAGGGCACAACUUCGAAAUAUGGAUUCAAGUGCAUACCAGCUUAUGCAAGAGUUUAAGCGGUACAAGGAAUUAAUUAAACGAGAAAGCAUCCAGAGAGAGCUUGUAUCUGAACGAGAAAUGUUGCUUAGUGAACUUAGCAGCUACAUUCGAACAGUGCGCACAGAUUUCAACAACACAUCAGUUAAUGGACCCAGACGAAUGACAAAUGUUCCAGAGGUGGUCAGCAAUAUAUACUGGGUCAAACCUAUUCAUGCGAAGAUCCUGGAUAUUGGUAAAACAGCAGAUGCCUUAUUGACAGACCUGAGUGGUUAUGAGGAGUUGAAGACCAGCAUUGCAGAGUUUUGUGAGGAGCUGGAAGAAUAUCACAAUGAUCAGUUUGACUCGUGGUCCCGAGAUAUGCUACAUAUGAUUGAUACACAAGAGCUUAGCUUGGCCACAGACUCCCCAGUGUUGUCAUUCAGUAAAGGCCGCCUACUGCGAGUUAAUUACAAUCCACGACUUGUAGGGCUGGUAAGGGAAGUAAGUCAGCUUGCAAUCCUGGGACACAAUAUACAUCCAAAUAUAAUUAAAAUGGCAAAUCUUGCUCAAAAGUUUAUGAAGCAGGCUAAGGCCUUGGAAGAGAUUGCAAACUUCCACAAUACAGUAGGAGACCAAAUGAUUCCUUCUCAGCGACCAAUGAUGCUUGAAGCAGCACUCGCUCUCUCCGGCUUGGUACAGGAACAAACUACCAUCACUUGGUCCAACACUCAACAGUUAGAUGCUUAUAUUGCCAAGCUCAAGGUAGCGACUCAGAGAUUGGCAAGAGAAAAUAAACAGCUGGCUCAGUGUCACCUUAUGAUCAAGGAAAGAGUGUUAGCACUGAUGAACACCGACUUGUUGCGCCAUCAGUCUAAAUGGAAAGAGUUACUAAAGGAGAUGCGAUCCAUCAUGCACCAGUUGCAGGAAAAAGGAUUUGCCGACCAAAAGUCUUGGUGCUCUCAUUGGGAUCGUCAGCUGUACAAGGCACUCGAACAUCAGUAUCAGCUUGGACUGGAAGCCCUUAACCAGUACCUUCCAGAAUUUAAAGUGGAGUUAACAUACAGGCAACAAAGGCUUCAGUUCCUUCCCCCAAUUGAAGAAAUUCGCAUGAAAUAUUAUGGCCAGUUGAAGCGUUUCUUGGCUAUUCCAUACCACUUUAAGGGUGUGAAUGACGUAAAUGAACAUCCAGUGUUCCCGACCAUUGUGGACCGUAAUGCCCAUCGCUUCGCACAGCUCUUCCAGCGAGCUGAAGAAUUGUUCGAGAGACUUGAGAGUGUCAAAGAACGUUUUGUGGAUUUAUGUGCUCUUGGUUCGUGUGAUGUAGACCAACUUGUGGAGAAAUACUGUAAGACAUCUGAAGACUGGGACAGGAACUUCCGAGCAUCAAAAGGCAAGGGUCAAGAGAUUGGAAAGUUACCAAGUACAGAAGAAAAGCUGGAUUGCUUCAGCAUAAGUUUCCAACCCUUGCGAGUGGAAUUGGAGAUAAUGAAUCGCCGUUACUGGGAUAUUCUCGUUCAAUCCCUUCAUAAUGCUAUUAUAAAAGAUAUCAAUACAAUUGAAAAAUUCACAGAGGAAGCAGUAGAUGUCCUGAGAAAACAGCCACAGACUGUAGAAGAGAUUGCAAAUGCCAGCAACAAGCAUGCAGAAUAUGCAAAGUUAACUGAAGAAAUGGUUGAAUUAUUUAAUGAGGCAGAGCGUAAGAACAAGACAUUAGCAAGCUGGACGAAGGAAAGAGUGGAGCAAGUGUCUCGUGUCACUAUGCAGUGGGACAAUUACAAGACUUUGAUGGAAAAUCAUGAACAAAUUGUUGCAAAGCAGAUUGAAGCAAUCAAGGGUAAUCUGGAGAGCCAGACAAAUAAUUUCAACAGUGAAGUAGAAAAAUUUGGGAUGAGGUGGUUUCAACUUCGUCCUCGGGAAGAUCAAUUAGAAGGUGAUGGCGACCACUUACAGGAGGCCAUUGCUUUUGUAGCAGAAAAACGCUUAGAGUGGGACCAGCUUAUGGAGACACGAGACAGCUUGAGGAAGGAUUAUGAGCACUUCCACAUGGGGGAGCCAUUCUUCCCAGAAAUUGAUGACAUUGAAGCUGACCUAAUAAAGCAUGAGAAAACGUGGGGUUUGUUUGAUGAAUUCAACACUAGUAUGCAAGAGUUUUCCAACGAAGAGUGGAUUGUUUUCCGAAGUAAAACAUAUAAAUUUGAAGAAUUUCUGAAUAGCUGGAAUGAUAAACUACAAUCAUCUGGAGAAACGACACCUGUGACUGUACGCCUCAUUCAUGAACUUGAAAAGUAUAGAGCAGUAAUACCACUACUGAAGUAUGUGCGUGGAGAAGUAUUUUCUGAAAAGCACUGGAUUGAAAUGUACAGCCUUCUUGGGAUACCUACCAAUGUCACAGUAGACAAACUCACCUUUGGUCACUUCCUGAAGGUGCGUGACAGCUUAACACAGCACAGUGAGGCAUUGAAGGAGAUGAACGCCAAAGCAGCAGGUGAAAUUGUUAUUCGGCAAGCAUUGGGAGAACUGGAUGUAUGGGAAGUUGAUGCUCACUUCACUCUCGUUCCUCACACAGCCUCAGCUGGACAUCAGAUUAUGCUCAUCAAAGAAUGGAAGGAUAUCAUCAACAAGGUUGGCGACAAUCAAAGUCUGCUGCAGUCCUUGAAAGAUUCGUCAUAUUUCGCAGCCUUUGCAGAUCGGGCUCGAGUUUGGGAACAACGUCUAGCUGACUUGGACGAGUAUCUUGCUAACCUAAAUCAGAUACAGCGUAAAUGGGUGUAUCUGGAGCCCAUUUUUGGCCGAGGUGCUUUGCCUAAUGAACAAGGUCGCUUCAGGAGAGUUGAUGAUGAUUUCAAAUCCAUCAUGUCAGAUGUUGCUAGAGACAAUAAAGUUGUAUCCCUCUGUCGCAUUAAUGGUAUACGGAACACAUUGGUUACUCUUCUUGAUCAACUAGCAAGAUGUCAGAAGAGCCUUAAUGAAUUUCUGGAGGAGAAGAGGUCUGCUUUUCCUCGCUUCUACUUUAUUGGUGACGAUGACUUGCUUGAGAUCUUGGGUCAAGCUACAAACCCAGAAGUUAUUCAGAAUCAUCUAAAGAAACUGUUUGCUGGAAUUCACUUUGUGAGAUUUGAUGAGAAUAAUUCACACAUCGUUGCAAUGAAGAGUCUUGAAGGUGAAGAUGUUCCUCUUAGAAGACCUGUUGAAAUCACCACACAAGUUGAGGAUUGGUUAAGUCAGCUGAGUGAGGAGAUGAAGAGGACGCUGAAUGAGCUGCUUACUGAAUGUCUGGCAGAAGGUCAUACUGAUGCAGGAAUGGAUCCUCUUAAGUCACCUUCUCAGAUCUUGUGUCUUGCUGAUGCCAUUCUCUUCACGGAACGAUGUGAAGAGUCAAUUCAGAAUGGAAGUCUUACCAGCUUUAAAAAAGAAUUAGAGGCCAAGCUUGAAUCGUAUACAGGUGUAGACCUCAGUUCAGAUGGAACCCCAGAGGGUAAGGCAGAUAGUUUAGUGCUGGAGCUGAAGUUAAAAGCACUCAUCUUGGACACCAUUCACAAUAUUGAUGUUGUGAACGUACUGAUCAAUAGUAACAUUACCUCUGUGUCAGACUGGGCAUGGCAAAAACAGCUAAGGUUCUACAUAGGUGAAGGAGGUUCGGCAUUUAUGAGGAUGGUAGAUGCUCAGUUUGAUUAUACAUAUGAAUACCAAGGUAAUGCCCCCAAACUGGUGCAUACACCUUUAACUGACAAGUGUUACUUAACACUUACACAGGGUAUGCACAUGGGGCUGGGUGGAAACCCCUAUGGCCCGGCUGGAACUGGUAAAACAGAGUCGGUGAAAGCUCUUGGUGGCCUGUUUGGGCGUCAGGUUCUGGUGUUUAACUGUGAUGAAGGAAUUGAUGUCAAAUCCAUGGGCCGAAUAUUUGUUGGUCUGGUGAAAUGUGGCGCAUGGGGCUGCUUUGAUGAGUUCAACCGUUUAGAAGAGGCUGUUUUAUCAGCAGUCUCUAUGCAAAUUCAGACGAUACAGGCUGCUCUUAAGUCACAAGCUGCAACCACUACACUAUUGGGCAAAGAGGUGCCUGUUGAUCCUAACUCGGGCAUUUUCAUAACACUGAACCCAGCUGGUAAAGGGUACGGCGGUCGUCAAAAGCUUCCAGACAACUUAAAGCAGCUAUUCAGGCCUGUUGCCAUGGCCCGUCCUGACAAUGAGUUAAUUGCUGAAGUCAUUCUGUUUAGCGAGGGCUUCAAGGAUGGUAAAAGCCUUGGGCGUAAGAUUGUUGCAAUCUUCAACUUAUCCAAAGAACUCCUCACUCCACAGCAGCAUUAUGAUUGGGGUUUACGAGCUCUUAAGACUGUAUUGAAAGGCUCUGGUAAUCUGCUUCAGUUAUAUAGGCGCACAUUGCCAGAAGAAGAAAAGUUAUCAGAGGUUAAUAUAAAUGUGGAAUCAGAACUGGUAGUGCAAGCUUUGCGGUUGAACACUCUCUCUAAACUCACCUUCUCUGACAGUUCAAGGUUUGAUGACCUGGUGCGAGAUGUGUUUCCGGAUAUUAAAUUUAGAGGUGUUGGCUAUGAAGAUUUAGCUGAAGUUUUACAAGAAACAUUUAAAGAGAUGAGUCUUAUACCAAACGAUCGACAGAUCAAAAAAGCUCUGGAGCUUUAUGAACAACUCCAGCAGCGUAUGGGAGUGGUAGUAGUUGGUCCCUCGGGAUCUGGUAAGACAACUCUGUGGCAGACCUUGCGACAUGCGCUCUUGAAAAUGGAUAAAAAGGUAAAGAAAUACGUCAUGAAUCCUAAAGCUAUGCCACGACAACAGCUUCUUGGGCACAUUGACCACGAUACAAGAGAAUGGUCUGAUGGUGUUCUCACUGCUUCUGCAAGACAAGUUGUCCGAGAGCCACCAGAUGUAACAUCAUGGAUCAUUUGUGACGGUGACAUAGAUCCUGAGUGGAUAGAGUCAUUGAACUCUGUAUUAGAUGACAAUCGACUUUUGACCAUGCCAUCAGGAGAAAGGAUACAGUUUGGCCCAAAUGUCAAUUUCCUUUUUGAGACUCAUGAUCUAUCCUCUGCUUCACCUGCCACAAUCUCUCGCAUGGGCAUGAUCUUCCUAAGUGACGAAGACACCAAUAUCCACGCAGUUGUUAAUUCUUGGCUUGAAUCACAGGGUGAAGAAGCAAAACGCUAUCUUGAACCAUAUAUUGAACAAUACUUCUUUAAAGCACUUGAAUGGGUCUUAAAUGCUGGUGAAGCUGAAGUUGAAACCACUUUAGUUGGAUGGGUUUUGAAUGGCCUUUCUCAUCUUCAUGAGGUUACCAGUAAAGCUCACUUUGCAUUGGCGCUUGUGAAAGGUCUAGGAGGUAAUCUGCCAGAGACCAACAGGGCAGACUUUGCUCGUGAGGUGUUUUCUUGGGUGGGUGAACAUGUACCAGAUCAACGCAAGCCUCUCAAUGUUUAUUACGAUGCUGCACGUGACCGUUUAGAACCAUACACCUCUGACUCGACAGAAGAUGUUGUAGUCGAUACAGCUGAAGUUCCUUUAAUACUAACUGCUGAUGCCAAAUGUUCACUGGAUUAUUUUAUGCCAUGGCUUCAACUAGAGACAAAGCAGCCAUUCAUCCUAGUUGGACCAGAAGGCUGUGGGAAGAGCCUGCUGCUUCAUCACUGCUUCUCCAAGCUGCGUAGUACGCAGGUGACCAUGAUUCACUGCAGUGCAUACACGGCUCCGCAACACGUGCUGCAAAAACUCUCCCAGAUGUGUAUGGUAAUUUCUACUAAUACUGGUCGAGUAUAUCGCCCUAAGGACUGCGAGAGGUUGAUUGUUUACCUUAAAGAUCUAAACUUGCCUAAGCCAGAUAAAUGGGGUACUUGCCAGCUCAUCACCUUCUUGCAGCAGGUGGUGACAUACGAAGGCUUCUAUGACAACAACCUAGAGUGGGUUGGGCUCGAGGGUGUGCAGGUGGUGGCUUCCAUAACUGGUGGGUCGGCACUGGGACGGCACCAGCUAUGUGCGCGUUUUACAUCCAUUGUUAGAAUUGCCUCAAUUGGGUACCCUGAGCGUGAGCAGCUAGUGAGUGUGUAUGGUGCGUAUAUGCAGUCGGUACUUAACACUAUGUGCCCGGGCCACCCUGCUUGGGGGUCUCAGACUAAAGCCCAGCAACUGGCAACAUCCAUGGUCAACGUCUACCAAAAUGUGCGUGAUACCUUCAGUGUAGAUGACUAUAGUCACUACUUGUUCACUCCACGUGACCUGACACGCUGGGUUCUGGGUCUCUUGCGUUAUCAAGUUACCUCAGAUGAUGCUACUCUUCAGCCACUGUUGGAGGUCUGGCUGUAUGAAGGCUGCAGACUUUUCCGUGACAAACUGGCUGAGAGAGAUGAUGUUCAGAAGUUUGAUACAAUAAUUCUCUCUAGUAUUCAGUCAGACUGGGGCUUGGAUCUCCGUGAUCACAUAGUUUCCAAGUACUUUGUCACCCCUGCAGUUAGUGUUGUGGCUCCUGGGGCACCUCUGCCUCUCCAUGGUUACAAGCUGGGCCAGAUGAGCACCGAGGACUGGGGUGAGGUGGUGACACGUGCGGUGACACAGUACAGCAGGGAGAAACAAGAGCUUAAUUUACUCAUCUUCACAGAGGUAUUGGAGGCUAUGGCACGUGUUGACCGGAUCUUAACAUCCCCUGGAGGCUCAUUUCUCAUGGCUGGCAGGUCGGGUGUGGGCCGCAGAACUGCCAUCUCUGUUAUUGCCAACUUACAUGGUAUUAGAGUUGUCUCACCAGCUAUGAGCCUUGGUUAUGACAUUAAAAACUUCAAAAAUGAUUUAAAACAGGUGAUGCAGAGCGCUGGUGUUGAGGGAGAACAGGUGGUGCUGCUGCUAGAGGAUCACCAUCUGGUCACUUCAGCAUUCCUCGAGAUUAUCAAUUCUCUUCUUAUGGCUGGAGAAGUUCCUGGACUCUACACUCCUGAAGAACUCGACCCUCUCCUCAUGCCUCUGCGAGACCAGGCAGCACAUGAAGGAUUCAGGGGUACACAGUAUGCAUAUUUUGGUUCAAGAGUGAUGACAAAUUUGCACAUUGCCUUGAUUAUGGAUUCAAGCAACCAGGAAUUCUCUGCACAGUGCGAGAGUAACCCAGCUUUAUAUAAGCAGUGUUCUGUGCUCUGGAUGGAAGGAUGGGCACAAGAAACAAUGAUUGAGAUCCCAGAUUUGCUUUUAGAAGACUAUGAAAGGGAUCUAAGCAACAGUUCAGAAUUCCUGAACUCAUUCUUGGCUAUACAUGAGAGCCUACCAUCUCACCUUGCCACUCCUCGGCGUUACAUAACCCUCCUGCAUACUUAUCGUUCAAUUCAUAAUACUAAAAAGGAAGGAGUAAUACUGCGACAACGUCAUUUGAAGGCUGGAGUGGCAAAGCUCAAUGAAGCACGUCAGGUAGUAAGCGAGCUUAAGGCUGUAGCUGCAGAAAAAGAAACUGUGUUAGCAGAAAAGCAAUCGGAAGCCAAUCGUGCCCUCGAGCUGAUUACAGACACUAUGAAAAAUGCCAAUGCUCAGAAAGUUCAGAUGGAAACAUUGAAAGACCAAACGGUAAAUGAAAACAAGAAGAUAGCCGAGAGGAAAAUUGCAAUUGAUGAGGAACUAGCAGAAAUUGAGCCCAUUGUGCGAGAAGCUAAAGAGGCUGUAGGGAACAUCAAGGCUGAAGCCCUGACUGAGAUAAGGUCCCUACGAGCACCACCCGAAGUAAUACGAGAUAUCCUAGAGGGUGUACUACGCCUUAUGGGAGUUCAAGAUACUUCAUGGAAUUCCAUGAAAACUUUCUUAGCAAAGAGGGGUGUCAAGGAAGAAAUAAGGAAUUUUGAUCCAAGAGACGUAACUUCUGAAGGUCGCAGAUCGGUAGAAAAAUUGCUUCACGAGCGUGAGGAUUCAUUUGAGGCAUCCGUUGCUAAAAGAGCAUCAACUGCAGCAGCACCACUGGCAGCAUGGGUGAAAGCUAAUGUACGAUUCUCCUAUGUACUCGAAAAAGUGAAACCUUUAGAGAAGGAACAAGAUAAACUGCAAAGAAAUUUGGAGAAAGCUGAGGCGCAGAUUGGAGAGUUGUCGGCUGGUUUGGAAGAUGUUGACAAGCAGGUAGCUGUACUACGGGAGAAGUUGAAUCGCUCUACUAAAGAAGCUGCAGAGGUAGAAUUCCACUUGAGUAAGGCCAAGGAAACGAUCACAGCUGCAGAGAGCCUCGUCACCAAACUAGAGGGAGAAUAUAAACGUUGGAGUCAACAAGUGUCUGAGUUAGAUUCUAGUAUACAAGGCCUGCCAAGAGAGGCUCUCCUAGCUGCAUCAUUCAUCACUUACUUGAGUGAAGCUCCCGAAGACACGCGUAAAGCAACAAUGGCCCACUGGAGCCGUAUGUUGCAAGUAUCUGGAUUUGACUUACGAAAGUUUUUGAGCAGUGAGAGGGAACAGCUUCAGUGGAAGGCGGAAGGGCUCCCAUCCGAUCAGUUAUCUAUUGAAAAUGCUCUCGUCAUUCUCCAGAUGACAACACAACCGGCAGGGUGCGGGAUGAAGCCUUUGUUGAUUGACCCAUCGUCCCGUGCUACUGCUUGGCUUCAUCAACAUCUUCGAGACGCUACCGUUGAGGCAACAUCACAGCAAGAUCCAAAGUUUGCAACAACACUUGAACUAGCUGUGAGGUUUGGGAAGACCCUCAUUAUCCAGGAAGUGGAUAAGGUGGAGCCACUUCUCUUCCCACUGCUCAGAGGAGAACUUAUCAGUCAAGGUCCUCGUUAUGUUGUUCAACUUGGAGAGAAAACACUUGACUACAAUGAAAACUUCCGCUUGUUCUUGGUAACUCGUAGUCCUUCUCCAGAACUACCACCUAAUGUUAUGUCGAUCCUUACAUCGGUAAAUUUCACCACUACACGUGCUGGAUUAACAGGACAGCUGUUAGCAGCAACACUGCAGGUGGAGAAGCCUGAACUGGAGGUGCGGAGAACCGAUCUCCUGAGGCAAGAAGAAGACCUGAAAAUACAGUUAGUAACUUUGGAAGAUCAUCUCUUGACAACUCUUGCUGAAUCACAAGGCAAUAUCCUGGAAAACAAGGAACUGCUGGCAUCAUUAGAGCAAGCUAAAUCUAGUUCUGCCACUAUUGAAUCUUCACUGAAAGAGUCGGGAUCUCUCCAAGAAUCUCUUGAGAAUGAACGGAAAGCAUAUUUACCUCUGUCACAGGCCGCUUCGAAUCUCUACUUCGUCAUAUCAGACCUGUCAAAACUUAAUAAUAUGUACCGUUUCAGUCUCAAUGCUUUCCAUAACCUUUUCCACAAAGCUUUACAAACACCUCAGGAUGGAAGCAACACAGAUCAGCGCAUAAAGUCUCUUCAGAGAGCUUUAAUUGACCUGGUGUAUAGUUACAUUAGUCGUUCCCUCUUUAAGGAAGAUCGCCUCAUGUUUGCCUUGCACUUAGUUCAUGGCAUGUACCCAGAGCUUUUUAGAGAAAAUGAAUGGGAGGCUCUGAUUGGCAUGCUGGUGACAGAUGUUAGAACUGAUGCAGCUGAAGUCAAAGAAACUCUUCCAAAGUGGGUUGAUGAAGAACGUGCAUUUGCGGUCUCGUUGUUAAAACAAACCUUCCCAACCCUGUUUGAAAUGCUGCAUUUGAAUGACUUGUCAAUGUGGUCAGGCUUUGCUAGAUCCAGCCACUGUGAGACAGAUUUACCAGUUCAGAUUCAUCAAAAGCUUUCUGGAUUCCAACAUGUGCUUCUCAUUCAGGCAAUAAGGCCUGACCGUCUCCAGUCUGCGAUGGUCAACUUUGCAUCCAGGGCACUAGGGAUGAAGGAAUUGUCACCUCCGGCCCUGAACCUCCGUCGUCUUAUGUCUGAGACAACAGCUGCCGAGCCUGUCAUGAUCAUCAUCUCCCCUGGAGCUGAUCCCUCACAAGAACUUCUGGAACUUGUGAAAAAUACUGUUGGAAAUACCAACUAUCAUGAGGUGGCUAUGGGUCAAGGGCAGAGUGAGAUAGCUAUUAAACUGCUACAAGAGUGUGCAUCUGCUGGCCACUGGUUAUGUCUCAAGAAUCUUCACCUGGUGACUGCUUGGCUUCCAGUUCUAGAAAAAGAAUUAAAUUCCCUUCAGCCACACCAAGAUUUCCGGUUGUGGCUGACGGCAGAACCACACGCAAAGUUUACACCUAUAAUUCUGCAGACGAGUCUGAAAGUCACUUAUGAGGCACCAGCAGGAAUCAAGAAAAAUCUUCAACGGACUUAUGACUCUUGGACGCCAGAAAUAAUUGCCCGUGGAAACAAUGUCAACCGUGCCCAGUCACUCUUUGUCUUAGCAUGGUUCCACGCUGUUGUUCAAGAGCGCCGGACCUACAUUCCACAAGGGUGGUCCAAGUUCUACGAGUUCUCCUUAGCCGACUUAAAAGCUGGGGCAGACAUUCUGGAUAGAUUAUAUAAACAAGAAACUGGUGAUAUCAAAUGGAACUUUAUUCAUGGCUUGUUUGAAAAUGCAAUCUACGGCGGACGUAUAGACAAUGUGUGGGAUUUGCGAAUUCUUACUGCCUACCUCUAUACAUUCUUCACCAGUGAUGUGAUUGGUGGACGCAAACUUUCUCAAAACCAGCUGGCCCAAAAUAUGACUCUGCCAACUACUGUUAAUUAUCAGGACUUCACUGCCCUUAUAAGAAGCCUACCAGAAGAGGAUGAUCCAGCUUACUUUGGUCUUCCAGCAAAUAUUGAAAGAUCUUGGCAGCGUAUUGUCAGUUCACAGGUUAUUGCUCAGCUAAAGGUGUUGAUGAGGUCCCCUGAGCUUGCAAGCCGUUUUGACCGUGAAAAGUGGCACUCUCAAUUGUCACCAGUGCUGAACUUGUGGAAAAAAUUAAAUCAGGGUGCUAAUCUUAUUCAAGCUAAAGUUGCUGCACCAGGCUCAUCAUUAGAAUCUCCAGUUAGAGCAUUCAUACAGCUGGAAUAUUAUUCUGUGAUCGGCAUCGUCCAAACAGUCCACCGGUCACUAGCCCAGCUCUCAAAAGUUAUUCGUGGAACACUUUUGCUUACCACAAGUGUCCAGGAACUUGCAGAUUCUCUUUUGAGGCAGGAGACUCCUGGCAGUUGGCAGAAGCUAUGGGAGGGACCAGAGGACCCACUAGAUUAUUUAAGGAGUCUUAUAAGACGAGCACUGGGAAUUGGAAAAUGGGUAGCUAAAAGUGACCAGAACAGUCUUCUCAAAGAAGCACUUGAUCUCUCCGAGCUCCUACAUCCAGCUACAUUCUUAAAUGCUCUUCGCCAGCAGACUGCAAGGGAAUAUGGAACUUCUAUGGACAAUCUGGAAUUUGUUACCUCUUGGUCACGUGGUGGGAUUCCUGAUGCUAAGGUUGGCAUGAAGUGGUGUGGACUUCAAAUGGAAGGAGCUACUUUUGACGGCUCCCGAUUGAUGCACAACACCCAUGAUUCUCCGAGCAUUGCUGUUGCUCCAUUGUGCACAGUAGCAUGGAUGCCAAAGGAUUUGGGAACUAGAAUGUAUCAUGAAGAGCUACUGUCAGUUCCUGUGUAUUCUGCCUCUGACCGCGAGCAGUUGGUCGGCAGCAUUGAUCUGCCUUGUCCUUCACCUCACUACGAGUGGCGUCAAGCUGGCUUGGCUCUGUUCUUGAUAACAUAGAUCCUUCAAGUGGAGAAGAGAUAUACUGAUGGAAACCCCUUGUUGUUCAUGCAGAAAGUGUGUGAACUUAGGCAUAAAAUACUUCAUUUUCACCACCCUGGACUGCAUAUCUCCUCUUUGAGCUAGGUCAACAUCAGGGUAGUCUCAUGCUGUCAAUGCUACCAUAUCUACAUCAAUAAACUGGUGUUAAAUCAGUUUUACAUAGCUCAUCUUAGUAUUAUUACCUUGCAUUACUCUUGAACAUGUACAAUAAAUGCUAACUUUAGUUCAUUUAAAACUUUACAGAUCUGCAAAUCAAUAGCACUGAUUAUAGACAAGUAAAAAUCCACAAAUAAUUACAUUAUCAAAGUACAAGAAUUAAGUAACAAAACAAUGUUUACAAAAACCCAACCAUAUGAGGCUCUCUUGAAUCAUUACAUUGAAGAGUUAGCAUGUUACUAAGACAUUAACUAGUUAUCUUAAUGAUAAGAAAAAUGUUAGCCCUAGUCUUUAAGUACAAUAAUAUGAUAUAAUGUAUUACCAGGUAAAAGAUAGAGCUAUUAUGAUAAAAA
rnacentral:misc_RNA from 1 species